ACACAACUCUAAAACUACCUAUAACCGCGCUAAAGAAAAUACUCAAAUCAUAAAGUAUCAUACAAAACCAUUUCAGAUAACAAACCGCAAGGGUUAAAAAAUUAGUUAAAAAAAGAAAGAAUAACUCCCCCUCCCUUUUGUAUCAUGGAGAAGCAACAUUCAUAUUAAUGACAAUUAAACUCCCGAAAAAAUAUGAGCUACUAACUCUUAAAAUUAAUGUAUCACAAUUAAUAAACUAGCCGUUAGUAGAAGUAACAAGCCUUCCACAUUUUUUGAUAGCUGGUUUUCCCUAAAAAGCAUCAAAGUGCUAGCUUAUGGCAUCACCCAUUCCUACAUAGCCACAAACUAAAAAUUACUGAGGAUAAGCUCGGUAACACCACAAAAAUAAACAAACCCGCAUAAUUACAAGUAGGCUUAAAAACAGCCAACUACAACGCGUUCUAGCGCAUAAAAAUCAAUAAGACAUAUAUAACCGCUCAUUUUAACACAUAAGGGAAUCUAAAGCAUAACAAUCUUAUAACCUUACCAAACAGGCAUUCUAUUAGUAUAACUUUCCAAGUUCAACACAUAAUAUAAAAAUCCAAGUGGACCUAUAAUCAAUAAUAAAGUAAAAUAUACGUAACGAACUCGGCAAUACUGUUUUUCGCCUGUUUACCAAAAACAUCGUUUCUCGUAACUCCAACAUGGGGAAUAAUGCCUGCCCAGUGAACACUAAAUUUUAACGGCCGCGUUAGCGUGAGCGUGCUAAGGUAGCGUAAUAAAUAGCCUCUUAAUUGGAGGCCAGUGAACGGCAACACGGAAAACCUCUGUAUCACGUAUAUUAAUAAAAUUUUAUUUUUGGGUGAAAAAGCCCGAAUAACCGAGGAAGACAAAAAGACCCCGCGGAGCUUUACUUUAUUUGGCUAAACAAAUCUACCAGAUCAGCUAUGCUAAUAAGUUUGGUUGGGGCAACCCUGGAACCGCUAAAACUUCCAGUAUCAGUUAAAACAUCAUCAAAAACAUCUUUGGACUAAAAAGAAGUUACCCCGGGGAUAACAGCGUAAUCCAAUUCAAGAGUACGCAUCGAAAAUUGGGUUUGCGACCUCGAUGUUGGCUUAAGGUAAUUCACAUAAGCGCAGCCGCUAUGAGAGAAUAGUCUGUUCGACUAUUAUACCCUUACAUGAGCUGAGUUAAGACCGGCGCAAGCUAGGUUGGUUUCUAUCUCCUCCAUUACCACCACACUCUCAAUUGUACGAAAGGACCAUGAGAUAUGCAAAUUUUAGCAAUCACUAGUAAACAUCGCUAAUACUCCACAACUAAUUCGACUCCAAGAACGUCAA
rnacentral:rRNA from 1 species